rnacentral:misc_RNA from 1 species
UGUGGGGGCGGGCUUGCCCGCGAUGACGGGGGCACAUUCAACAUAAUUUCGACCGUUAUACCGCUAUCGCGGGCAAGCCCGCUCCCACA